GAUGAACGCUAGCGGCAGGCUUAAUACAUGCAAGUCGAACGGCAGCACAGUGUAGCAAUACAUGGGUGGCGAGUGGCGCACGGGUGCGUAACACGUAUGCAAUUUGCCCAUAACUGGGGGAUAGCCCUCCGAAAGGAGGAUUAAUACCCCAUAACCCAGCGAGGUGGCAUCACUUUUCUGGUAAAUCUCCGGAGGUUAUGGAUGAGCAUGCGCCCGAUUAGCUAGUUGGUGAGGUAACGGCUCACCAAGGCAACGAUCGGUAGGGGGUCUGAGAGGAUGAUCCCCCACACGGGUACUGAGACACGGACCCGACUCCUACGGGAGGCAGCAGUAAGGAAUACUGGACAAUGGAGGCAACUCUGAUCCAGCCAUGCCGCGUGAAGGAUGAAGGCGCUACGCGUUGU
rnacentral:rRNA from 1 species